UGAUUAGUAUAAAUAAAUAAUAAAUGGAUAACUAGAAUAUUAUAGAAUAACGUCGAUAUUACGAAAGGGGUAAAAGAAAAAGAAAUAUCCAGAAACGGAAACGUUUUUUUUAAAUUAUUACUUUUAGAACUGAAACAUCUUAGUAUGAAAAGGAAAAGAAAUCAAGCGAGAUUCUGUGAGUAGCGGCGAGCGAAAGUGGAGUAUAGGUUAAUUGGCCGAUUAGAAUCAAAGAGGGUAAAAGGCCCAUUAAUAGGUCGAGAAACUAGUAAAUUAAGUAGAAUUGUUUGAAGAGAGGUGUACCAUACAUCUAAAAUUUAAUACUAUAAUAUAUCGAUAGUGAAUAGUACCGUGAGGGAAAGUUGAAAGAGAUUAUAAUGAAAUAGAACUUGAAAUUUGUUAUUUAUAAGCGAACGAUUACGUUGUACCUUUUGUAUAAUGGGUUCAUAAGUAAAAUAUUUGGCAACCUUAAAUUUAUAAAUGUAGGGGUAGUGAAAACGAGUAAAUAAAGCAAUUAGUUAAAUAGAACCCGAAACCAAGUGAGCUAAUCAUGGACAGUUUAAAACUUUUAUAAAAGAAGGUGGAGGAGCGCACCGGUGAUUGUGGCAAAAAUCUCGGAAGAUCUGUGAUUAGGGGUGAAAUACUUAUCGAACUUGGAAUUAGCUGGUUUUCUACGAAAAUUAUUUUAGUAAUGCGUUAUAUGAUAAAUUCUUGCAGAGUAAAGCACCGAAUAAAUUUCAUUAAGGAGUUUAAUCGAACUAUGAAAAUGUAAGAAAGAAUAUGAUAGACAGACAGUGGGCGAGAAGGUCUAUUGUCGAGAAGGAAACAACCUUGAUCAGAAGUUAAGGUCAUUAAACAUAUAUUUUAUUUAUUGAGUGUAAAAGGAGGUUUUUGUAUUAUAACAAUAAGAAAGUAAGCUUGGAACCAGCUAUCUUUGAAAGAUUGCGUAAUAGUUCACUUAAUAAAUAUUAAGACUCCGAAAAUAAAGGUGGCUUAAAUAAUUAACCAAAACUCUGAAUUUUAAUAAUGGUAGUAGAACGUUUUGUAAAUAAUUAAAUAGCAAGAGCCAAAAUCAAAAGCGAUAAUGUGAACAUGAGUAAAAAACAACGUGAAAAUCGUUGUUCAUGACCCAAGGUUUUUAAUUAUAGGAUUAUCCGAAUUGAGUGACUCGGUUUCUAAGAGUACAACUAAAUUUAAUGAAAGCAAAUAAAAAAUAAAUAAAAUAUAGAAAGAAAUUAUAUUACUUAUUAAGUAAACCGUACCAAACUAACACAAGUGGGUUAUUGAGUGAUGGUAUAAUUUAUCUUAAGGAACUCGGCAAAAUAUUCCUGUAAGUUUGCAAGAAAGGAAGCUAAUUGAUAAAUAUAAAAAUUAUUAAUUAUGCCGCAGAAAAUAGAGAGUGUCGACUGUUUACCAAAAACAUAGCUUUCAGCAAAAAUCUAAGAUUCGAAGUAUUGAAAGUGAUGCCUGCCCAGUGGUUGUAUUUGAAUUUAAACAAUAAAUAUUGAUUUUAGGUAAGGACAAUUAAAUGGCCGCGGUAAAUCUGACCGUGAUAAUGUAGCGCAAUCAAUAGCCAAUUAAUUGUUGGCAAGUAUGAAUGGCUUAACGAAUACUCUACUGUCUCAAGAUAAAAACCAAUGAAAUUGAAAUCAUAGUGAAGAUGCUAUGUAUAAAUUGUAAGACGAGAAGACCCCAUUGAGCUUUACUGGAAACUUAUAUAGCAGUUUUAUGAUUACUUGUAUAGAUUAUAUGGGUAAAAUAGUAUUAUUUUAUGAAAAACCAUUCUUUAAUCAUAAAACUGCUUAAUAUGAUAAAUCGUAUAAGUUGGACAGUUUGGUUGGGGCGACAGCCUUCUAAAAAGUACCGAAGGUAUACAUAAGGUGAAUAAAUAAUAGUUAAUAAGCUUGACAAUGAAGAUGACUUCUAAAUUGACAUAUUAAUUGAUAUAAUCUUUUAUUAUGGGUUAUAGUGACCCGUUAACUAAUAGUGGGGAUGUUAACGAGUAAUGGAUAAAAGUUACCAUGGGGAUAACAGCGUGAUAUCGUUUGAGAGUUCAUAUUGACGACGAUGUUUGCNACCUCGAUGUUGAAUUGUGGUAUCCUAGAGGUGCAGCAGCUUCUAAGGGUUGCACUGUUCGUGCAUUAAAACCACACAUGAUUUGAGUUCAGACCGGCGUGAGCCAGGUCGGUUUCUAUCUACAAUUUAUAUAAGAAACAAUAUAUAAUUAUACUUUAGUACGAAAGGAUUGAGUAUUUAAUUGUCCGCUGGUGUACCAAUUAUAUAUUAUCGUUGGGUAGCUACGACGAAGUCAAUAAUUGCUGAACGUAUCUUAAGCAGGAAGUGAUUUAUUAUUUGUUUCUUAAUAUAUGGCGUUAUAGAUAAUAACGUAAUAGGGUGUAAGUGUAAUAUCUAAAACUACUAAUGUAUAUCAUACUAGUCAUU
rnacentral:rRNA from 1 species